UAUAAAGUGGCGAACGGCUGAGUAACACGUGGGCAACCUGCCCUUUGCACUGGGAUAGCCUCGGGAAACCGAGGUUAAUACCGGAUACUCCAUAUUUGUCGCAUGGCGAAUAUGGGAAAGCUCCGGCGGCAAAGGAUGGGCCCGCGGCCUGUUAGCUAGUUGGUGGGGUAGUGGCCUACCAAGGCAAUGAUGGGUAGCCGGGUUGAGAGACCGACCGGCCAGAUUGGGACUGAGACACGGCCCAGACUCCUACGGGAGGCAGCAGGA
rnacentral:rRNA from 1 species